CCUGUGCAGUCUCCAGCAGUUGCACACUUCUGGCCACAUUCGGUGUCAUGGUAUUUAGAAGAAACGCCAGAACAGUAGAGUUCUCCAUUCUCCAUUGAGCCAUAUCCUGCUCAUUAUUAGCAGGUUUUCUCUUUGUGCCGGUGAGAUAUCCCUCCAAACCUCAUCCUUGUACAAGUAGACGAGUGCUCCUCUCCCAUUGUAAAUAUGUCGCUGGGCCAUCAAGUUUUACAGCCACUUGAAGAGCAUUCAGCGAUCCACUAUCUCUUGACGAACCCCCU
rnacentral:lncRNA from 1 species